rfam:Aminobacter sp. Root100 contig_10, whole genome shotgun sequence.
UCCCCGGUAGCUCAGUGGUAGAGCAACCGGCUGUUAACCGGUUGGUCGCUGGUUCGAAUCCGGCCCGGGGAG